UGAAAUGCGAUAAUUAAUGUGAAUUGCAUUAUCUCGUGAAUCAUCGAGUCUUUGAACGCAUCUUGCACUUUUCAGGUCUCCUGAAAAGUAUACUUGUUUGAGUAUCAUUAACAUUAACUCCAAGUGUGUGCACACGCACGCUCUUGGGAAUUGGGACUUCAAGCUGCCUUGUGUAGCUUGUGGCCUUUAAUUGAUACGUGGAGUGAUUCUGUGUGUGCGUGUUUGUGCUGCAACAGCUUGCUGCUGCUGCCAACACUCAUCCACACACCAGAAGCCUAACAAUCAAAUGUGAGAUAAAUAUCGCACAAAGUAGUUGACAGGGUUAAGCUUUGCUACGCCUAGAGGCUUAGGCCUCAACUUUGAUCUGUGAUCUCAAAUCAAGUAAGACUACCCGCUGAAC
rnacentral:misc_RNA from 1 species